GAUGAACGCUGGCGGCGUGCCUAAUACAUGCAAGUCGAGCGGAAAGGCCUCUUCGGAGGUACUCGAGCGGCGGACGGCUGAGUAACACGUAGGAACAUACCCCAAAGCAAGGGAUAACUGCUCGAAAGAGUAGCUAAUACCGCAUGUGGUCUUCGGAUUAAAGCUUCGGCGCUUUGGGAAUGGCCUGCGUCUGAUUAGCUAGAUGGUGAGGUAAUGGCUCACCAUGGCGACGAUCAGUAGCUGGUCUGAGAGGAUGAUCAGCCAGACUGGGACUGAGACACGGCCCAGACUCCUACGGGAGGCAGCAGUAGGGAAUUUUCCACAAUGGGCGAAAGCCUGAUGGAGCAACGCCGCGUGAAGGAUGAAUGCCUUCGGGUUGUAAACUGCUUUUAUAUGUGACGAAUAUGACGGUAGCAUAUGAAUAAGGAUCGGCUAACUCCGUGCCAGCCGCCGCCGUAA
rnacentral:rRNA from 1 species